GACGAACGCUGGCGGCGUGCUUAACACAUGCAAGUCGAACGGACAGACCCUGCGUUUGUGGGUUGCUCGAUUGGCGAACGGGUGAGUAACACGUGAGUAACCUGCCCUUGACUGUGGGAUAACUUCAGGGAACUGGGGCUAAUACCGGAUAGGAGCUCCUGAUGCAUGUUGGGGGAUGGAAAAAUUCGGCGGUUGUGGAUGGACUCGAGGCUUAUGAGCUUGAUGGGGUGGUAGUGGCGUACCAAGGCUUUGACGGGUAGCCUGCCUGAGAGGGUGACCGGCGACAAGGGGACUGCGAUACGGCGCAGACGCCAAUGGGACGCAGAAGUGGGGAAUCUGGCACAAUGGGCGGAAGCCUGAUGCAGAAACGCCGCGUGCGGGAUGAUGGCCUUCGGGUUGUAAACCGCUUUCGCCUGUGACGAAGCGUGAGUGACGGUAAUGGGUAAAGAAGCCCCGGCUAACUACGUG
rnacentral:rRNA from 1 species